UGGCUCACCAAAGGCUACGAUCCGUAACUUGGUCUGAGAGGAUGAUCAAGUCACACUGGAACUUGAGACACGGUCCAAGACUCCCUACGGGAGGCAGCAGUGGGGAAUAUUGGACAAUGGGCGAAAGCCUUGAUCCAGCCAUGCCGCGUGUGUGAAGAAGGUCUUCGGAUUGUAAAGCACUUUAAGUUGGGAGGAAGGGUACUUACCUAAUACGUGAGUAUUUUGACGUUACCGACAGAAUAAGCACCGGCUAACUCUGUGCCAGCAGCCGCGGUAAUACAGAGGGUGCAAGCGUUAAUCGGAAUUACUGGGCGUAAAGCGCGCGUAGGUGGUUUGUUAAGUUGGAUGUGAAAGCCCCGGGCUCAACCUGGGAACUGCAUCCAAAACUGGCAAGCUAGAGUAUGGUAGAGGGUGGUGGAAUUUCCUGUGUAGCGGUGAAAUGCGUAGAUAUAGGAAGGAACACCAGUGCGAAGGCGACCACCUGGACUGAUACUACACUGAGGUCGAA
rnacentral:rRNA from 1 species